UACGUAGGGUGCAAGCGUUAAUCGGAAUUACUGGGCGUAAAGUGUGCGCAGGCGGUUGUGCAAGACAGAUGUGAAAUCCCCGGGCUCAACCUGGGAAUUGCAUUUGUGACUGCACGGCUAGAGUGUGUCAGAGGGGGGUAGAAUUCCACGUGUAGCAGUGAAAUGCGUAGAGAUGUGGAGGAAUACCGAUGGCGAAGGCAGCCCCCUGGGAUAACACUGACGCUCAUGCACGAAAGCGUGGGAGCAAACAGG
rnacentral:rRNA from 1 species